rnacentral:rRNA from 1 species
AGAGUUUGAUUAUGGCUCAGAUUGAACGCUAGCGGCAUGCCUUACACAUGCAAGUCGAACGGCAGCACGGGGGCAACCCUGGUGGCGAGUGGCGAACGGGUGAGUAAUACAUCGGAACGUGCCCUAUAGUGGGGGAUAACUAGUCGAAAGACUAGCUAAUACCGCAUACGACCUAAGGGUGAAAGCGGGGGACCGCAAGGCCUCGCGCUAAAGGAGCGGCCGAUGUCCGAUUAGCUUGUUGGCGGGGUAAAAGCCCACCAAGGCGACGAUCGGUAGCUGGUCUGAGAGGACGACCAGCCACACUGGGACUGAGACACGGCCCAGACUCCUACGGGAGGCAGCAGUGGGGAAUUUUGGACAAUGGGGGCAACCCUGAUCCAGCCAUGCCGCGUGCGGGAAGAAGGCCUUCGGGUUGUAAACCGCUUUUGGCAGGAACGAAACGGCGCGCGCCAAUACCGCGCGUUAAUGACGGUACCUGCAGAAUAAGCACCGGCUAACUACGUGCCAGCAGCCGCGGUAAUACGUAGGGUGCGAGCGUUAAUCGGAAUUACUGGGCGUAAAGCGUACGCAGGCGGCUUGGUAAGACAGAUGUGAAAUCCCCGGGCUCAACCUGGGAACUGCAUUUGUGACUGCCAGACUCGAGUUUGUCAGAGGGGGGUGGAAUUCCACGUGUAGCAGUGAAAUGCGUAGAGAUGUGGGGGAACACCGAU